GCCCCAAUGGCCAAGCGGUUACGGCACUGCACUUGUACAUUAUGACAUGCAGAGAUCGGUGGUUCAAAUCCGCCUUGGGGCU